UAUAAAAUAUAUAAAUACUGUUUUCUAACAACUUAAGUUUUUAGAGUAUAACGAUUGUUUCACAUGCUAUCAAAGCCGGAGGUACUGAGUUCGAGUCACAUUAGGCUUCUAACAUUAUUAAUUUCUUCUUAUUUAGUUUAAGUCCACGUUAUGGGCCAACACCGUUCUCUUAAAGUUAAACUUUUAGGCAGCGUUUGGUUAGAGGGGAUAGGGAUAGGAAUAAGCCCUUAUCCCCCUUUUAUACCCAAACGUUAAUUUUUUACCCGAAAAUAAUAGUUCUCGGUUAUCCCCAUCAACACCUUCAUUUUCUAUAUAAAACUAUCUAAAAUUGUUCUUAUUCUCGGGAACAACCCAAUUUUUAUCCAAACACUAUUUUUCUUAUCCCCAUACUCUUGCUUAUACCCGAACCAAACGGUACCUUAGAAUAUAACGGUUGUUUCGUGUGGUACUACAAAUAAUUUUUCCUCACUUUCCAUCCUCUAAUAACUUUUUUUUAGGUUUUUUUUUUUA
rnacentral:lncRNA from 1 species